UACGUAGGUGGCGAGCGUUAUCCGGAAUGAUUGGGCGUAAAGGGUGCGUAGGCGGCCUGCUAAGUCUGGAGUGAAAGGUACCGGCUCAACCGGUACAGGCUCUGGAAACUGGCGGGCUAGAGAGCAGGGGAGGUAAGUGGAAUUCCUAGUGUAGCGGUGAAAUGCGUAGAUAUUAGGAGGAACACCAGUGGCGAAGGCGGCUUACUGGACUGUAAAUGACGCUGAGGCUCGAAAGCGUGGGGAGCAAACAGG
rnacentral:rRNA from 1 species